AGAGUUUGAUCCUGGCUCAGGACGAACGCUGGCGGCGUGCCUAACACAUGCAAGUCGAGCGAAUGAAGUUCCUUCGGGAACGGAUUUAGCGGCGGACGGGUGAGUAACACGUGGGCAACCUGCCUCAUAGAGGGGAAUAGCCUUCCGAAAGGAAGAUUAAUACCGCAUAAGAUUGUAGCUUCGCAUGAAGCAGCAAUUAAAGGAGCAAUCCGCUAUGAGAUGGGCCCGCGGCGCAUUAGCUAGUUGGUGAGGUAACGGCUCACCAAGGCGACGAUGCGUAGCCGACCUGAGAGGGUGAUCGGCCACAUUGGGACUGAGACACGGCCCAGACUCCUGCGGGAGGCAGCAGUGGGGAAUAUUGCACAAUGGGGGAAACCCUGAUGCAGCAACGCCGCGUGAGUGAUGACGGUCUUCGGAUUGUAAAGCUCUGUCUUCAGGGACGAUAAUGACGGUACCUGAGGAGGAAGCCACGGCUAACUACGUGCCAGCAGCCGCGGUAAUACGUAGGUGGCGAGCGUUGUCCGGAUUUACUGGGCGUAAAGGGAGCGUAGGCGGACUUUUAAGUGAGAUGUGAAAUACUCGGGCUUAACCUGAGUGCUGCAUUUCAAACUGGAAGUCUAGAGUGUAGGAGAGGAGAAGGGAAUUCCUAGUGUAGCGGUGAAAUGCGUAGAGAUUAGGAAGAACACCAGUGGCGAAAGGCGCUUCUCUGGACUGUAACUGACGCUGAGGCUCGAAAGCGUGGGGAGCAAACAGGAUUAGAUACCCUGGUAGCCCACGCCGUAACGAUGAAUACUAGUGUAGGGUUGUCAUGACCUCUGUGCCGCCGCUAACGCAUUAAGUAUUCCGCCUGGGGAGUACGGCCGCAAGAUUAAAACUCAAAGGAAUUGACGG
rnacentral:rRNA from 1 species